rnacentral:rRNA from 1 species
CCUACGGGCGGCAGCAGUGGGGAAUAUUGCACAAUGGGGGAAACCCUGAUGCAGCAACGCCGCGUGAAGGAAGACGGCCUUCGGAUUGUAAACUUCUGUUUUUAGUGAAGAAGAAUUAUGGUAGCUAAGGAGUAAGCCACGGCUAACUACGUGCCAGCAGCCGCGGUAAUACGGAGGGGGCAAGCGUUAUCCGGAAUUACUGGGUGUAAAGGGAGCGCAGGCGGGAAGCGAAGCCAGCUGUGAAACCUACGGGCUUAACUUGUAGACUGCAGUUCAAACUGGGUAUCUUGAGUGAAGUAGAGGUUGGCGGAAUUCCGAGUGUAGCGGUGAAAUGCGUAGAUAUUAGGAGGAACACCGAUGGCGAAGGCAGCCAACUG